rnacentral:lncRNA from 1 species
CGCUGCCGCAGCCUCCGCCGCUCCAGCCCCGGCUCGGCAGCGCGUCCCCUCCCCGCCUCGCCGCUCCGCUCGCGGGCUCGCGGGCUCCCUCGCUCGCUCCCUGCCCCCGCCGCUGCCGGCGCCGCGCCGAGCGGAGCCCGGCCGGCCACGGGCUGCCUCUCCCGAGGUCCCUUUCCCGAGGGGGGAGGUGGUGGGGGCGCGGCGCGGGCGGGGCGGGGAGGAGAGGAGAGUCCGGGGGAGGCGGCAAGGCUGCGCCCUCGGCUCCCUUCCGAUCCCCGCGGGCCCAGCGGCCCCAGGCCGGGCCGGAGAGCGCCGAGCCGCCAGGCAGCGGAGGGAGAGAGGAGGAGGACCCGGAGUCUCGCCGCGGGAGGGUGCCCAGGGCGAGGGCGUGCGAGGGGGAGUGACUCCGCGCGCGAGGGGCAGCAGCACCUGCUUGAAACCAAGCCCGGCGACCUGGCAAGGUGGGGCCCCCUACCGCGCAAGCUUUGCGACUAGCCCCCGGCUCUCAGCUCCGAGUGCAGAGGCUGAAGAGGUACCCGGGGGACACACUGCCUCUAACCCCACGUAUGAGCCGCUCUCCUCUCGGAGGGCGAAGGCACCAUCGGAAGGUGGAGAUUCGCCCUUCUCUCCCGCCACGUCUACCCACUACCCAGACCGGGAGUCUGGACUUGGGAGCGUGAACUCUCACCCGAGCCGGUCCCCUUACAACUGGAGCCCGCCCAGCCCCUCAGUCCGUCCCUGAAGCCCAUGGGUCCCCACUGCUCCGUGCCUCGUCGACCCAGGAUGGGAGUGGGAAGGUCAGCAUGUGCCCACAGGGCCAGGUGUCCGGCCCAGAUUCCCACCCUCAGGGCGGCGGCGCGCAAAGGGCGCAGUCCCCGCCGCGGGGCGGACCCGCGGCUCCGGCUUUCCCGGUGUCUCCAGCCUCGGUGCCCGGAAUCCUGGAUCUCGGCCUGGCGCUCCGGAAGCGAGGCAG